UGAUAGGUAGCUUAAUAAAAGCAUUAGACUUUUAAUCUAAUAAUGAGAUAAAUAAAAUUCUCCCAAUCAA
rnacentral:tRNA from 1 species